AGUUAAAAGUGAAUAGCUGCAGAGUUGUAGGGAGUCUUGUCUGAGCUCUGUUCAAGCAGGGCACCAGCCUGCUGCGGUCGCCUAUUGUGACUUGGGAGCUGAGACUGUUAACGGUCCCCUGAUCAGGGAAAGUGCUGUCAAGGAAAAGGGGGUGAUGAAAGACUAAGUGGUCUCCUUGAGGCUGUAAAGUGGUCUUGUCUAACCAGGAUCCAAGAUUAUUGACCUCUGGUUAGAACAACGCCCGUCUUCAGAGCGGUCGUGGAGCUUGGAUUGAUCCACAUUUAGAAUCACGUUGCCCUUUGUUGACUUGGCUGGAUUACUUUACCGGACCAACGAAGUGCUGUGCCCAGCUUGAGCGUCUCCAAGCACGCCCACACAAGCAGUUGUCUGGAACUUUGAAGUUCAGAGGAGUGCACACUCAGAGGGCCCGAUUUGUGCUUCAUGAAGACUCUUAUGGCCUGAAGGGAGUAUUCCUGAUAUUUAUUUGGGAUAUUCAAGAUCAGAAUGAGUUCCAGAGUAACCUGUCUCAGGCAGAUGACAAGGAAAAUGUGAUAUGGACAAUCCCUUCAUGUUUGUGUGCUACAUUUGGAUACAUCAUUGUAAAACCAUUCUCAGUAAAUAGUGUCAUCCUCAGAUUCAUGGCUUGGGACCUUUGGCAUCAGGUUUUUAAUUACAUCAUGGAUUCUGACCCUCUGUCUUAGAUAGGAUGUCCCAAAAUCCUAAUGUUGCAGUAGCACUGUUUACUUUUCAAACACUCUCAUUUUCCUGAAGUGCCUGCACGCACAGAGUUUUCAGUCCAUGCUGCUUUUCUUACACUUUUUUUCCACUAUUUGUUAUUUACGUUUCAGUGGACACUCCUUGCAGUUUCAUCCCCUCAGUUUUAUUUCACUUGGUCUCAAAGGAGUCCAUGGAAAUUUGAAAGUUAUUUAGUUUAAAAUGAAGAGAUUCCAGAAGUUCUGUUACUAAAGGUGCCCAUAAGGUGUUAGAAAAUGAAGAGGUCACCCUGGGCCUAAAGCAGGAUGCCAUACCUACAACUUGCACUCCCCAAGUAUGAGGUGCAAAGUCUUGUGCACAUAAGGCAUUGGAAAAUUCAGAGGCCAACCUAGGCUUAAAAGAAGACUUCAGACCCAUGGCAAAGUCAUGUCCAUCACCCUUAAAAUUAAGACAUUUAGGCAUUUUUGUUCUUUGACUACAUUAGAUUUGUAAAAUGUGAAGAGAUUGUGAGUUUCAAAGGCUCAAACUCAUUUUGCCCCCUCUAGUUUAGGAGUCCAGAUACUGACUGGAAAAAAAGAUGAUUUAAUAAGGAUACCAAUGUCAACCUGGGAAGCAAUUUAGCACUGCGGGGAUGUGGUUGCUUAACUGUAUAUCAUACAUGAAGCAGUAACACAGAACACUCUCUAAAGGAACAUGUAGAACAAAAACCCCACUCCAAAAUUUUGUUGAAAAUGUGCCUGGAAUCUAGAAAUCAGGAGAGUAGGCAUUUAUAAUUCUCAAGCUUCCUCACAGGAAAUGCUACUAUGCCAGCACAUCUCAUCUCCCUUGUCUUCUUUUCCACUCCCACAGCAAUUGCCUCUGGUCUGGCCUGUGCUUCUAUUGUCCUCAGACACCAUGGCAAAUGGAACAAUACAAAAACAGGAUGACCUCCCAUUCUUUCCCCCUUCCCAGCAAUGCAACAUAAUACUAACCUAGAACUGCUACAGUAACGGUGAUUGCGUGUAAAUGUCUGCGGCAUGCUUUAGAAGUAUUCUACAAAAUAAUUAAUGGUUGUAUUUUUGUUAAUUACUUAAGGUAAAAUAUAUGUGUGUGUGUGUGUUAGAGUCAUCAUUUGAAUGUCAUGAUAUGGUCUUUUAGGAUAACUUUACCAAUAUUAAAUUUAUCCUUGAUUUGAAUUGGAAUAGACAGAACAGUAACUGAUACAGUAUUUGCCCAGACCCCUGCAGUGACAACUGAAUAUGUCAAAGCCACAUUUACUUGGGUUUUAUGAGAGUAAUUAAAAUUAUUUGUAGGAGAAUUAUUUGUGGAAACUUAAGAGAUAUUAUAUAAAAUAAACAGAAUGGGAACAGAGGAAGUAAAGUUUUCUCUAAGAAAAGGAAAGAAAAUGCAUAUCUGAGUAAAUCUUUCAGUCUUCAAGAGUCUUGAAAUCUCUGUUCACACUUUCCUUAGAUAAUUUUUAUUAGUUUGAGGUUAAAUAAGCAUAACAAAGCAUGCAUAUUAUGUUUGAUGGUUUCUGCAGUACAUCCAUCUGCUUGAAACAAGGCAUGUCUAGCCUCAAACUACGAAAAGUAGAUACAAGUUACUGAGUCAGGAUUUCCGGUCUUACAGUAAUGACAGUCUGGACUUGAUUUAUCUUAUUAUAAAAAUAGCCUGGCCCUCAAAAGAUUAAACUCACAGAGACCUAGAUGUUUUUCCCAUUAAAGACAAAGGUAAAAUCCUCAGUUUUCAAGCAGGAUGGGACACAGAGAGGGUACCAGUUACAGACUCUUGGUCUGAUCCUGCUCCCACUGAAGACAAUGGACCAUUUACACACAUUACACCCAAACAAAUAACCUAUGUUAAAAGUGCACUGUUACGAUUGCGAAGUCAAGUACCCAAAAGUUAGAAAAUGCCAGAAUUAAGGUAGCCUGUGCAAAUUUAUCCUGGCCUCCUUGUGCAUAUGCAUUAUGAUUCAGUCUUUAAUUACAUCAUCAUCAUGCUCUUUUUUUCCUCACGUACCCAUGCGUCUUUCAGUGAACAGACUGAAUGGUGCUCAUUUAAUGAGCAGCUAUUCAAUAUUUUGUUUUCUCCUUAUUGUUCAAAGCGUGGCCCCAAGCUUUCUUUACUGCAGGCUCUUCAAACUCUGCACUGAAGAUAGAACUAUUAAUUUUGUCAUGGGCUUUUCUAUGGCACUCAUCAAUACAGUACUCAAAUGCUUCACAGACAUUAAUUAAUUUAGCUUCUUCAAAAUGUGAAGUUAGGGGUGGUAUUAUUCCCAUUUCACAGAUGGGCAGAUGAGACACAGAGAGAUUAAGUUCAAAAGCACCCAUUACUUUUGGAGCUGACUCUGAGACACUUAGAAUUGUAUUGCUUCAGAGUACUUAGCACUAUAUAGCACUUUAUAUAUGCAAGCUCAGCUCCCAUUGACUUCAGCUGCAGAUGUGCAUGCUCAUCAAUUCUGCAAAUCAAGCCCAGGGUUUCAAGCUGAGCACCCAGAAAAUAAGGAACAUGCAAUCAAUGACCACCUCCAAAAAUUUGGUUUAAGUGACUGUCUUAGCAUCACACAGAAAUUCUGUGAUAGAGACAGGGAUAGAAUCCAGUUCUCCAGGGCAGCAUUCAACUCCCUAACCAUGAGGACCUUUCUUCUCUUCCUGAAAUCACCUGCUUCAUUUACUACACAUCUUCCACCUUCUACAACAAAUGAGAUAGGGGUCCUACAGACAACAGGCUCCUACAUUACAUAAUCUUCAUUCAUCCCCCAAAAUGGGUUUAUCAUGUGAAGUGAAUAAGGUAACGAUCCCAUGGGAGAAAAAGAUUAUGUGAUUGCGUAAUUAAAGACAAAUGUAAUGUUUAAGUACAAAGGGGCUGAAUUAAGGUUUCUCACAGUCUGCCAUCCUCAAUCCCUUCCCUUGUUCUCUACCCUGCCCAAUCAGUCCCAAUUCUCCACCCCCAUGCCAGCUCCAUGUCAAAUCUAUCUCUCCUCCCUCUCACCCCUGCUCCCUCCACUAGUGCCUAGACUCAGUCUCCCCUGACCCCAGCCCCUCAUCUGAUUUUAGUGCCCCCCAGACAACUGGGUCCCAGUCCCCCAAUGCCAAUUCCUUCACUGGAUUCCCCCAGCCCCAGUCCCCUUGACUAACCAGUCCUUGUCUGCACUCCACCUCCCUCACUACUCCCAGACUUUCCCCUCAAAUCCUAGUCCCAGUUUCUUUUCCCUCCAGUCCAUCUCACCAGAUUCUUUGUCCUAAUCUAUUCCUUUUCCCCUGCCCCGGUCCAGCUUUUGGCCUCUCUGCACUGGACUCAGCUUGCUUCCUCCUCCAUACUAUCUGGGUGCAGUAGGAAGCCAUUGAGAACACUGGAGAGACAGACUCCCUGCUUUCAGUUCUAGUGCCCAGCCCCACCAUGGCCUAGAGGAACUUGGAGCAGCCAUUGCAGGAAAAGUUUGGCUUCAUCCAGCCCUUGGCUGGAGUAUGCUCAUGUGCUUUGUAGGAAUGGCACAUGCACAGUCUAGUCAGUGCUAGUAGCUGUUAGAGAUUUGAGCAUGCACAUAAUCUUUUCGUGAAUCGCAUGCAUCCGAUGAAGUGAGCUGUAGCUCACGAAAGCUUAUGCUCAGAUAAAUUGGUUCGUCUCUAAGGUACCACAAGUACUCCUUUUCUUUUUGCGAAUACAGACUAACACGGCUGCUACUCUGAAACCUGAGCGUGCACAGUGAGCACAGAAUCUUGGAGGACUUUAGCUGCUAAUAUCUAAGAAGUCUCUAUUGAACUUUUCAAAGGCUUAUAACUUGGAUAAAUUUCUGUGGAUUUUCACAAGGAUAGAAAAAGCAUAUUCCUGACACAAGGGCAACUCCCUGCCAAAUUUCAAGUCCCUACUCCAAAGCUUGGGAACACCAGAACAUAGCAAAGAAAAAUCUAAAGAUUUUAUUUUUAACAUGGACAAAAUACUUUAUUUUCCCCUAUCCUAGUUUUUGGAAAUGGCUGAACAGUUUUCGCUGAGAUAGAUAGAUAGAUGAUACAAAAUUCAGCCUAAUGCAGACACUUCCAUGUAAAAUUUCAGCCAAAACUGUUCAAGUUUAGCAAAAUUAUAAACAACUAAAACCAAGGUAUCAUAGUGGGAAGUGUGAGAUAACCUUAAUAUCAGAUGGUGCUACCAGCUCUGCAUAUAGUAUAGUAGAUAAAAGAAUAAUAAUUAUUGUUUAAUUUCUCUGUAUACUAUAUGUAUAAUGCAGUAUACCUCUUUCUCUCCUUUACUUUGAAGACCAUUGUGGCAUUACACCCUUUUUAUUAUUAACUAUUUUCUAAAUCUCUCUGUUCAUAUCUAUUGAACAAUCUAUAAAUGGAAUCAAAUUCUAUUGUAGUUCAGUGUAGGCUAUAAUUUUGCUCUGGCUAUCUCAUCAGUUGCAUCCAUUGGAGUCAUUGAGUUAUGCACAUGCAGUUGAUUGACCAACCUCUUUUACAGCUACAUCACAGAAUACAGAGCUGUACACAACUGACAGUGAAAGUAUGAGCAUCCUGUUCUAAUAAUAAACAUUUAAUUUAACUAAAAAACACUCAGUAUCAUGUGAAUAAUUAAACAUACAAUUUACAUUGCCACUGAUUAAAAUGACUAGCCAGCUAAAAUAUGUUAAUAAUCCUAUUGGAUACUCAAAAUCUGCAUUUCAAGAAAUAGCAAAAGUAGAGUAAAAGCUCGUAUUUUUUGUUUGUUAAUUAUACCCUAAGAGAAACUAUGCUGUCAUCAUCUGUUUUAUUCAAGAAGCAUUAGACAAUCAAAGAAAGUACAUUAGAACCUGAAAUUAUCUCCCUUUCUCACUCACUCUUUUUUAUUUAUUUUAACUAAAAGCAGGAAUUUAAUCUUCAUUUUGAAUUGAGAAUACCGAGUAUCUACCCCAAUUGUACAAUAUAUAGUCUGAGAGAAAACACUGGAUUUUCUCAAAAUUUGCAAUUCGUUGAUGAGUCUGUGAAUUAAAAUUAAUUAAAGUUGGACAAUU